UAGGGAAUAUUGGUCAAUGGAUGGAAGUCUGAACCAGCCAUGCCGCGUGCAGGAAGAAGGCCUUCUGGGUUGUAAACUGCUUUUGCCAGGGGAUAAAAAUUCUUUGCGAAGAAAAUUGAAGGUACCUGGUGAAUAAGCACCGGCUAACUACGUGCCAGCAGCCGCGGUAAUACGUAGGGUGCAAGCGUUGUCCGGAUUUAUUGGGUUUAAAGGGUGCGUAGGCGGCCUUGUAAGUCAGUGGUGAAAUACUCCAGCUUAACUGGAGGGGUGCCAUUGAUACUGCAGGGCUUGAGUUAAGUUGAAGUUGGCGGAAUUGACGGUGUAGCGGUGAAAUGCUUAGAUAUCGUCAAGAACACCGAUAGUGAAGACAGCUAACUAAACUUUUACUGACGCUGAGGCACGAAAGUGUGGGGAUCAAACAGGAUUAGAUACCCUGGUAGUCCACACUGUAAACGUUGAAGACUCGCUGUGUGCGAUAUACAGUACGCGGCUUAGAGAAAUCGUUAAGUCUUCCACCUGGGGAGUACGCCGGCAACGGUG
rnacentral:rRNA from 1 species